AUCGUUCUUCUACUCUUUAACCACUUGUGGUCUCCUGUCAAUUGUGAUCUGAGUGGUGCACCAUAUUCACCUUCGUUGCAGUGUCAACUGUAAUGACAGUCAUUUUGGCAGUUGUAAUCUCUACUUAGCCUACCAACGGACACAGACAUUUUGCUUUUUUAUUUAAAUUGAACAUUCAACCAUAGAAUUGCCAACUCUUAGCCGUCUGCUGCCUAUUUGCUGGUCCUACAGUCUUUCUAGCCAUCGGACAGCAGAAAACAAAACCUUCUUCGUCUUCGCCGCGCCCGUCGUCACCUCGCCCGUCAUCCCGUCUUCGCUUCGCCCGUCGUCCCGUCUUCGCUUCGCCCGUCGCCCCGACUUUGCAUCGCCCGUCG